GGUUACUGCUAUCGGUGUUCGCCUAAGCCAUGCGAGUCAUAUGUUCGUAAGAACAUGGCGUACUGCUCAGUAACACGUGGAUAACCUGCCCUUGGGUCCGGCAUAACCCCGGGAAACUGGGGAUAAUUCCGGAUAACGCACAUAUGCUGGAAUGCUUUUUGCGUAAAAUGGAUUCGUCUGCCCAAGGAUGGGUCUGCGGCCUAUCAGGUAGUAGUGGGUGUAAUGUACCUACUAGCCUACGACGGGUACGGGUUGUGAGAGCAAGAGCCCGGAGAUGGAUUCUGAGACAUGAAUCCAGGCCCUACGGGGCGCAGCUGGCGCGAAAACUUUACAAUGCGGGAAACCGUGAUAAGGGGACACCGAGUGCCAGCAUCCUAUGCUGGCUGUCCGGGUGUGUAAAAUACACCUGUUAGCAAGGGCCGGGCAAGACCGGUGCCAGCCGCCGCGGUAACACCGGCGGCCCGAGUGGUGAUCGUGAUUAUUGGGUCUAAAGGGUCCGUAGCCGGUUUGGUCAGUCCUCCGGGAAAUCUGACAGCUCAACUGUUAGGCUAUCGGAGGAUACUGCCAGACUUGGAACCGGGAGAGGUAAGAGGUACUACAGGGGUAGGAGUGAAAUCUUGUAAUCCCUGUGGGACCACCUGUGGCGAAGGCGUCUUACCAGAACGGGUUCGACGGUGAGGGACGAAAGCUGGGGGCACGAACCGGAUUAGAUACCCGGGUAGUCCCAGCCGUAAACGAUGCUCGCUAGGUGUCAGGCAUGGCGCGACCGUGUCUGGUGCCGCAGGGAAGCCGUGAAGCGAGCCACCUGGGAAGUACGGCCGCAAGGCUGAAACUUAA
rnacentral:rRNA from 1 species